rnacentral:lncRNA from 1 species
CUUUAUUAUUUCUGCAUCCCAUGGAUGAAGAUGAAAGAUGUUCUUCACUCUAAAAUAUAAGAAAGUAUAAUAUUUUAUAUUGCCUUUUGUUAAAUAAAAGUGAAUUAAGUGCAAGAACUAGAAUUAUGUGUGAAGAAAAUAAAUGAGGAAAAUUUUGGAAGGAGAAAAGAUAAGGAUAAGAAUUCAAAUUAUAUGAACCAUUAAAAAAUGAAUAAUAAAAAGUAAAAAAA